ACGAACGCUGGCGGCGUGGAUAAGACAUGCAAGUCGAACGAGAGAAUUGCUAGCUUGCUAAUAAUUCUCUAGUGGCGCACGGGUGAGUAACACGUGAGUAACCUGCCCCCGAGAGCGGGAUAGCCCUGGGAAACUGGGAUUAAUACCGCAUAGUAUCGAAAGAUUAAAGCAGCAAUGCGCUUGGGGAUGGGCUCGCGGCCUAUUAGUUAGUUGGUGAGGUAACGGCUCACCAAGGCGAUGACGGGUAGCCGGUCUGAGAGGAUGUCCGGCCACACUGGAACUGAGACACGGUCCAGACACCUACGGGUGGCAGCAGUCGAGAAUCAUUCACAAUGGGGGAAACCCUGAUGGUGCGACGCCGCGUGGGGGAAUGAAGGUCUUCGGAUUGUAAACCCCUGUCAUGUGGGAGCAAAUUAAAAAGAUAGUACCACAAGAGGAAGAGACGGCUAACUCUGUGCCAGCAGCCGCGGUAAUACAGAGGUCUCAAGCGUUGUUCGGAAUCACUGGGCGUAAAGCGUGCGUAGGCUGUUUCGUAAGUCGUGUGUGAAAGGCGCGGGCUCAACCCGCGGACGGCACAUGAUACUGCGAGACUAGAGUAAUGGAGGGGGAACCGGAAUUCUCGGUGUAGCAGUGAAAUGCGUAGAUAUCGAGAGGAACACUCGUGGCGAAGGCGGGUUCCUGGACAUUAACUGACGCUGAGGCACGAAGGCCAGGGGAGCGAAAGGGAUUAGAUACCCCUGUAGUCCUGGCAGUAAACGGUGCACGCUUGGUGUGCGGGGAAUCGACCCCCUGCGUGCCGGAGCUAACGCGUUAAGCGUGCCGCCUGGGGAGUACGGUCGCAAGAUUAAAACUCAAAGAAAUUGACGGGGACCCGCACAAGCGGUGGAGUAUGUGGCUUAAUUCGAUGCAACGCGAAGAACCUUACCUGGGCUUGACAUGUAAUGAACAACAUGUGAAAGCAUGCGACUCUUCGGAGGCGUUACACAGGUGCUGCAUGGCCGUCGUCAGCUCGUGUCGUGAGAUGUUUGGUUAAGUCCAGCAACGAGCGCAACCCCUGUUGCCAGUUACCAGCACGUGAAGGUGGGGACUCUGGCGAGACUGCCCAGAUCAACUGGGAGGAAGGUGGGGACGACGUCAGGUCAGUAUGGCCCUUAUGCCCAGGGCUGCACACGUACUACAGUGCCCAGUACAGAGGGGGCCGAAGCCGCGAGGCGGAGGAAAUCCUAAAAACUGGGCCCAGUUCGGACUGUAGGCUGCAACCCGCCUACACGAAGCCGGAAUCGCUAGUAAUGGCGCAUCAGCUACGGCGCCGUGAAUACGUUCCCGGGUCUUGUACACACCGCCCGUCACAUCAUGGAAGCCGGUCGCACCCGAAGUAUCUGAAGCCAACCGCAAGGAGGCAGGGUCCUAAGGUGAGACUGGUAACUGGGAUG
rnacentral:rRNA from 1 species